UUUCGCAAGAGGAGCUGUGAAGCAAAGUUUCCGGGAAGAGUUCAACCUGGGAAUCCCGCACAGCUGGAAGGACCAGAACUUAUUGUGCAGCUCUGGCUCGCAGAUGGACGUUCUCCGCUGCCAAGCGGGGUUUGAAGACUCACCGGUGAGAAAGGUAUGAGUCUAGGGAAGAAGACAUCCAGCUGUGUCUCCAAGAAGAACGAACCCUCAUGAUUGGUGAACUUGACAGCUGGGUGUGUUAGGGUGCCCUGGACUGGGAGAAGUGGGCGUUCUGU